GCAGCAUGGCAGGAGUGUACCACUGAGGAGAAAGGUGAAAGGAAGCGGCAUGGCAGGAGUGUACCACUGAGGAGAAAGGUGAAAGGAAGCGGCAUGGCAGGAGUGUACCACUGAGGAGAAAGGUGAAAGGAAGCGGCAUGGCAGGAGUGUACCACUGAGGAGAAAGGUGAAAGGAAGCGGCAUGGCAGGAGUGUACCACUGAGGAGAAAGGUGAAAGGAAGCGGCAUGGCAGGAGUGUACCACUGAGGAGAAAGGUGAAAGGAAGCGGCAUGGCAGGAGUGUACCACUGAGGAGAAAGGUGAAAGGAAGCGGCAUGGCAGGAGUGUACCACUGAGGAGAAAGGUGAAAGGAAACGGCAUGGCAGGAGUGUACCACUGAGGAGAAAGGUGAAAGGAAGCGGCAUGGCAGGAGUGUACCACUGAGGAGAAAGGUGAAAGGAAACGGCAUGGCAGGAGUGUACCACUGAGGAGAAAGGUGAAAGGAAGCGGCAUGGCAGGAGUGUACCACUGAGGAGAAAGGUGAAAGGAAGCGGCAUGGCAGGAGUGUACCACUGAGGAGAAAGGUGAAAGGAAGCGGCAUGGCAGGAGUGUACCACUGAGGAGAAAGGUGAAAGGAAGCGGCAUGGCAGGAGUGUACCACUGAGGAGAAAGGUGAAAGGAAACGGCAUGGCAGGAGUGUACCACUGAGGAGAAAGGUGAAAGGAAGCGGCAUGGCAGGAGUGUACCACUGAGGAGAAAGGUGAAAGGAAGCGGCAUGGCAGGAGUGUACCACUGAGGAGAAAGGUGAAAGGAAACGGCAUGGCAGGAGUGUACCACUGAGGAGAAAGGUGAAAGGAAGCGGCAUGGCAGGAGUGUACCACUGAGGAGAAAGGUGAAAGGAAACGGCAUGGCAGGAGUGUACCACUGAGGAGAAAGGUGAAAGGAAGCGGCAUGGCAGGAGUGUACCACUGAGGAGAAAGGUGAAAGGAAGCGGCAUGGCAGGAGUGUACCACUGAGGAGAAAGGUGAAAGGAAACGGCAUGGCAGGAGUGUACCACUGAGGAGAAAGGUGAAAGGAAGCGGCAUGGCAGGAGUGUACCACUGAGGAGAAAGGUGAAAGGAAACGGCAUGGCAGGAGUGUACCACUGAGGAGAAAGGUGAAAGGAAGCGGCAUGGCAGGAGUGUACCACUGAGGAGAAAGGUGAAAGGAAGCGGCAUGGCAGGAGUGUACCACUGAGGAGAAAGGUGAAAGGAAGCGGCAUGGCAGGAGUGUACCACUGAGGAGAAAGGUGAAAGGAAGCGGCAUGGCAGGAGUGUACCACUGAGGAGAAAGGUGAAAGGA